rnacentral:rRNA from 1 species
AGGAAUAUUGGGCAAUGGACGAAAGUCUGACCCAGCCAUGCCGCGUGCAGGAUGACGGCCCUCUGGGUUGUAAACUGCUUUUGUAUGCCAAGAAACCUCCGAACGUGUUCGGAGCUGACGGUAGCAUAAGAAUAAGGAUCGGCUAACUCCGUGCCAGCAGCCGCGGUAAUACGGAGGAUCCAAGCGUUAUCCGGAUUUAUUGGGUUUAAAGGGUGCGUAGGUGGACUAAUUAGUCAGUGGUGAAAGCCUGCAGCUUAACUGUAGAACUGCCAUUGAUACUGUUAGUCUUGAGUUCAGUUGAGGUAGGCGGAAUAUGUCAUGUAGCGGUGAAAUGCUUAGAUAUGACAUAG